AGCAGCCGCGGUAAUUCCAGCUCCAAUAGCGUAUAUUAAAGUUGUUGCAGUUAAAAAGCUCGUAGUUGAAUUUCGGGACUAAUAUGUCGGUCGUGCCUCGGUACGAACUGGUUUAUUGGUUUCUCCUUUCUGAAGAACCAUGAUGUCAUUUAUUUGGUGUCGUGGGGAAUCAGGACUGUUACUUUGAAAAAUUAGAGUGUUUAAAGCAGGCUCACGCUUGAAUACAUUAGCAUGGAAUAAUGAAAUAGGACGUUUGAUUCUAUUUUGUUGGUUUCUAGGAUCGACGUAAUGAUUAAUAGGGAUAGUUGGGGGCAUUAGUAUUCAAUUGUCAGAGGUGAAAUUCUUGGAUUUAUUGAAGACUAACUACUGCGAAAGCAUUUGCCAAGGAUGUUUUCAUUAAUCAAGAACGAAAGUUAGGGGAUCGAAGACGAUCGGAUACCGUCGUAGUCUUAACCAUAAACUAUGCCGACUAGGGAUCGGAUGAUGUUAAUUUUUAAUGACUCAUUCGGCGCCUUACGGG
rnacentral:rRNA from 1 species